rnacentral:rRNA from 1 species
UACGGAGGGUGCAAGCGUUGCUCGGAAUUAUUGGGCGUAAAGGGUGCGCAGGCGGUCGGGUGUGUCAGAUGUGAAAUCCCGAGGCUCAACCUCGGAACUGCGUCUGAAACUACUCGACUAGAGUACUGGAGAGGGUAACGGAAUUCACGGUGUAGCAGUGAAAUGCGUAGAUAUCGUGAGGAACACCAGAGGCGAAGGCGGUUACCUGGACAGUUACUGACGCUCAGGCACGAAAGCAUGGGGAGCAAAAGGG